rnacentral:rRNA from 1 species
UUUUGGGUGAAAGCGGCGGACGGGUGAGUAAUGUCUGGGAAACUGCCUGAUGGAGGGGGAUAACUACUGGAAACGGUAGCUAAUACCGCAUAACGUCUUCGGACCAAAGAGGGGGACCUUCGGGCCUCUUGCCAUCAGAUGUGCCCAGAUGGGAUUAGCUAGUAGGUGAGGUAAUGGCUCACCUAGGCGACGAUCCCUAGCUGGUCUGAGAGGAUGACCAGCCACACUGGAACUGAGACACGGUCCAGACUCCUACGGGAGGCAGCAGUGGGGAAUAUUGCACAAUGGGCGCAAGCCUGAUGCAGCCAUGCCGCGUGUGUGAAGAAGGCCUUCGGGUUGUAAAGCACUUUCAGCGGGGAGGAAGGCGGUGAGGUUAAUAACCUCAUCGAUUGACGUUACCCGCAGAAGAAGCACCGGCUAACUCCGUGCCAGCAGCCGCGGUAAUACGGAGGGUGCAAGGGUUAAUCGGAAUGACUGGGCGUAAAGCGCACGCAGGCGGUUUGUUAAGUCAGAUGUGAAAUCCCCGAGCUUAACUUGGGAACUGCAUUUGAAACUGGCAAGCUAGAGUCUUGUAGAGGGGGGUAGAAUUCCAGGUGUAGCGGUGAAAUGCGUAGAGAUCUGGAGGAAUACCGGUGGCGAAUGCGGCCCCCUGGACAAAGACUGACGCUCAUGUGCAAAAGCGUGGGGAGCAAACAGGAUUAG